rnacentral:rRNA from 1 species
GAUGAACGCUGGCGGCGUGCCUAAUACAUGCAAGUCGAGCGAACAGACGAGGAGCUUGCUCUUCUGACGUUAGCGGCGGACGGGUGAGUAACACGUGGAUAACCUACCUAUAAGACUGGGAUAACUUCGGGAAACCGGAGCUAAUACCGGAUAAUAUUUUGAACCGCAUGGUUCAAUAGUGAAAGACGGUCUUGCUGUCACUUAUAGAUGGAUCCGCGCUGCAUUAGCUAGUUGGUAAGGUAACGGCUUACCAAGGCAACGAUGCGUAGCCGACCUGAGAGGGUGAUCGGCCACACUGGAACUGAGACACGGUCCAGACUCCUACGGGAGGCAGCAGUAGGGAAUCUUCCGCAAUGGGCGAAAGCCUGACGGAGCAACGCCGCGUGAGUGAUGAAGGUCUUCGGAUCGUAAAACUCUGUUAUUAGGGAAGAACAAAUGUGUAAGUAACUAUGCACGUCUUGACGGUACCUAAUCAGAAAGCCACGGCUAACUACGUG